GUCGAGAAUUUUUCACAAUGGGCGCAAGCCUGAUGGAGCGACGCCGCGUGGGGGAUGAAGGGCUUCGGUCCGUAAACCCCUGUCAUUUGCGAACAAACCUCUUCCGUUAAUACCGGAAGAGUUGAUGGUAGCGAAAGAGGAAGGGACGGCUAACUCUGUGCCAGCAGCCGCGGUAAUACAGAGGUCCCAAGCGUUGUUCGGAUUCACUGGGCGUAAAGGGUGCGUAGGUGGUGAGGUAAGUCGGAUGUGAAAUCUCUGAGCUCAACUCAGAAAUGGCAUUGGAAACUACCUCGCUCGAGGAUUGGAGGGGGGACUGGAAUUCUCGGUGUAGCAGUGAAAUGCGUAGAGAUCGAGAGGAACACCAGUGGCGAAGGCGAGUCCCUGGACAAUUCCUGACGCUGAGGCACGAAAGCUAGGGGAGCAAACAGGAUUAGAUACCCUGGUAGUCC
rnacentral:rRNA from 1 species